rnacentral:piRNA from 1 species
CACCGUCAGCACCCAAAGCUGAAAUUC